CCCUUAGACGUUCUGGGCCGCACGCGCGCUACACUGACCAGUGCAACAAGCAUCCGUCCUUGGCCGACAGGCCCGGGCAAUCUUUGAACGCUGGUCGUGAUGGGGAUAGACUUUUGCAAUUUUUGGUCUUCAACGAGGAAUUCCUAGUAAACGCAAGUCAUCAACUUGCAUUGAUUACGUCCCUGCCCUUUGUACACACCGCCCGUCGCUCCUACCGAUUGAAUGCUCAGGUGAGCCAUUCGGACUUUCAUCAUGCUGGUUUCCAGUUUUGAUGAAGGAAAGUCUUGCGAAUCUUAUCAUUUAGAGGAAGGAGAAGUCAUAACA
rnacentral:rRNA from 1 species